UACGUAGGAGGCGAGCGUUGUCCGGAUUUACUGGGCGUAAAGGGCGAGUAGGUGGCUGGAUAACUCCUUAGUGAAAUCUCCCGGCUUAACUGGGAGGGUGCGGAGGAAAGUGUUCAGCUAGAGGGACGCAGAGGAGAACGGAAUUCCCGGUGUAGCGGUGACAUGCGUAGAUAUCGGGAGGAACACCAGUGGCGAAAGCGGUUCUCUAGGCGUUUCCUGACACUGAGGCGCGAAAGCGUGGGUAGCAAACCGA
rnacentral:rRNA from 1 species